AAGUGACUGCGAUCCCGGAAAAUCUUAGCAAACACGCGGGCCAGGGAUAGAGACAUAAGGAGAAGGGUCCUGUCACUGAUCUCCAGAGACCCGUGGAGACAGAGGGAAUGAGAGUUAGUCUGAACGAUGAGAACAUGCAGUAGAGCUGUGGACGAUGCAUCAGAGACGAACUGACGCCAUCACGGAUUGGAUUGGUAAGUGGGAGAAGUAGGCGUGUCUACCUCAUGUUGAAUGCGGCAAUAUGUUUGAGAGAGAUUGGAGGAGUGUCGGUGAUCAUAAAUGCACCGCUCCUGCGCUGAUCACUCUCGCUACUGGCUCCGGAGAAACAUGCUUCGGUUACUAAGUCUGAUCCUUUGCUUCCACUAUGGGAUGCUCGUGACCGUUCGGCAGUCUCCUGAAACAUUUUCUGCAUCGCCUGGAGUCGCGGUGGAGUUGACAUGCACCGCAGAUGGAGGGGGCAGCACUGAUGUCAUGUUCUGGUACAGGCAAUACCCGGCAGAUGGUCCACGAAUCCUAGUUUACUCCAUGAACAGCAAUCAUCUUGAUCCAUCUAAUCCGGUGGACGGUUUCACGGCGAAAAGGCCCAAACCCAAUGUCUUCGACCUGACAUUGGACAAUUUGCGGAAUGGAACCCCCGCAACAUAUCUCUGCGCCUGGAGACUACACAACGACUCAGAGCUUCGGAAGAUCUGA